rnacentral:lncRNA from 1 species
CCGGACUGCGGGCCGUCUCAGGAGGUUCCGGACUGCGGGCCGUCUCAGGAGGUUCCGGACUGCAAAACGUCGCCGGAAGCUCCGGACUGGGAACUGUCGCCGGAAGCUCUGGACUGGGAACUGUCGCCGGAGGCCUGAUGCGUGCGGCUGGCACAGGUGGCGCCAGACUGGUAACACGCACCUCAGGGCGAGUACGGGGAGCUGACUCAGGUGGCACCAAACUGAUAACACGUUCCUUUGGGAAAAAUCUGUGCAUCCUCCACCAACUCAACAACUCUCCCAUAUCUCUCUUCUCCUGGAUUGGCUCUGGUUCCCUCCUCGGCCCCGCCGACUGCUCCAUGUGCCCCGCCCCAACAUUUUCUUGGGGUUUCUGUGGCCUUCCUUCCCGACUUCAUAGCUGUCCCUCCCUCGCUGCUUCCGCCUGCUUCCCUGGCAGGCUCUUGUCUCCUGCCACUAUUCCUUCCAAAGUCCAGGAUAUACU